rnacentral:rRNA from 1 species
UAAUACGUAGGGGCCGAGCGUUGUCCGGAGUUACUGGGCGUAAAGGGUGCGCAGGCGGCCACGCACAUCGGUGGUGAAAGCCCCGGGCUCAACCCGGGAGGGUCCAUCGAGAUGGCGUGGCUGGAGGCAGGGCGAGGCCGGUGGAAUUCCGGGUGUAGUGGUGAAAUGCGUAGAGAUCCGGAGGAACACCAGUGGCGCAGGCGGCCGGCUGGACCUGUCCUGACGCUGAGGCACGAAGGCGUGGGGAGCGAACGGGAUUAGAUACCCCGGUAGUCCACGCAGUAAACGAUGGGCACUGGGUGUGGCGGGAGUUGACCCCUGCCGUGCCGGAGUUAACACGGUAAGUGCCCCGCCUGGGGAGUACGGCCGCAAGGCUA